CUCACCCUACUGGACCACAGCCCAAACAACAGCCCAGCUCCAGCUAGGCGAGGCCUAGGCACAAGCUAUCAAGCUACCACGCCAUCUACGGGUCCAGGGAGAUCUCCACCUACUAAACAUCAGGACCAGGUUGGAGGGCUCCCUCUCCACCAUCCCGGAACUAUCGGAUGAAGACGAAUUCCCACCACUACCAGUCAGCAGUGUUGCUGGUCCCCGGAAUGGCGCAAAGGAACAGCGAGGAGCCCCGGUAACCACAACGGGAGGGUCAUCAAACAUGAUGAGCGGGCAAUUAAAGGCUAACAAUGCCAUUGAAACCGUAUCUGAGACCUCCCUACCACCACUCCUCCUCGGAAGUCCACCUCCCACCGGUGCCAUUCGGGGACCCAGCACACCUUCACUCCCCGACGAUAGUCCCGCAGGACCCUCCUCCACCUCCUCCCCAUUCAGCUUACCACUAUAC